rnacentral:lncRNA from 1 species
AAUAUAGUUUUAUAAAUAGUGGAGGUUGGGGUAAAAGCAUGUAAAGGGAAAGGCUAAGGUUGUUUAUUUCAGUUCCAAUGGUGGAACUAGAGACCGACCGUCCCUAGAGCAAGUGGGAAAGGGCUCGGUGGUUGGUAUUCGAGACCUAAAUUCGAAUCCUAGCUAGUUGAUUCACAUUUCUAGCUAAGUUUAUUUCUAAAUAAAAUAAACGAAGCAGGUAGCGUGCUACCUAUCUCUCAAAAAAAAAAAAAAUGGUGGAGCUAGAGAAUAUUUAU